rnacentral:rRNA from 1 species
CCUACGGGAGGCAGCAGUGAGGAAUAUUGGUCAAUGGGCGCGAGCCUGAACCAGCCAAGUCGCGUGAGGGAAGACGGUCCUAUGGAUUGUAAACCUCUUUUGUCGGGGAGCAAAAGACGCCACGCGUGGCCUUCCGAGCGUACCCGACGAACAAGCAUCGGCUAACUCCGUGCCAGCAGCCGCGGUAAUACGGAGGAUGCGAGCGUUAUCCGGAUUUAUUGGGUUUAAAGGGUGCGCAGGCGGAAUGUCAAGUCAGCGGUAAAAUUGAGAGGCUCAACCUCGUCGAGCCGUUGAAACUGGUGGUCUGGAGUGAGUGAGAAGUAUGCGGAAUGCGUGGUGUAGCGGUGAAAUGCAUAGAUAUCACGCAGAACUCCGAUUGCGAAGGCAGCAUACCGGAGCGCAACUGACGCUCAUGCACGAAAGUGUGGGUAUCGAACAGGAUUAGAUACCCUUGUAGUC